rnacentral:rRNA from 1 species
CACGUAGGGCGCAAGCGUUGUCCGGAAUCAUUGGGCGUAAAGCGCGCGUAGGUGGCCUCAUAAGUCCGCUGUGAAAGUCAAAGGCUCAACCUUUGAAAGCCGGUGGAUACUGUGAGGCUAGAGUACGGAAGAGGCGAGUGGAAUUCCUGGUGUAGCGGUGGAAUGCGCAGAUAUCAGGAGGAACACCAAUAGCGAAGGCAGCUCGCUGGGACGUUACUGACACUGAGGCGCGAAAGCGUGGGGAGCGAACAGG